GUCCCUGUAGUGCAAUGGAUAGCACGCUGGAUUUCUAAUCCAAAGGUCAUGGGUUAGAAUCCCAUCUAGGAUG